GACGAACGCUGGCGGCGUGCUUAACACAUGCGAGUCGAACGGAAAGGCCCUGCUUUUGUGGGGUGCUCGAGUGGCGAACGGGUGAGUAACACGUGAGUAAUCUGCCCUUGACUUUGGGAUAACUUCAGGAAACUGGGGCUAAUACCGGAUAGGAGCUCCUGCUGCAUGGUGGGGGUUGGAAAGUUUCGGCGGUUGGGGAUGGACUCGCGGCUUAUCAGCUUGUUGGUGGGGUAGUGGCUUACCAAGGCUUUGACGGGUAGCCGGCCUGAGAGGGUGACCGGCCACAUUGGGACUGAGAUACGGCCCAGACUCCUACGGGAGGCAGCAGUGGGGAAUAUUGCACAAUGGGCGGAAGCCUGAUGCAGCAACGCCGCGUGCGGGAUGACGGCCUUCGGGUUGUAAACCGCUUUCGCCUGUGACGAAGCGUGAGUGACGGUAAUGGGUAAAGAAGCACCGGCUAACUACGUG
rnacentral:rRNA from 1 species